AACGAACGCUGGCGGCAGGCCUAAUACAUGCAAGUCGAGCGCCCAGCAAUGGGAGCGGCGCACGGGUGCGUAACGCGUGGGAAUAUGCCUUUAGGUACGGAACAACCAAGGGAAACUUUGGCUAAUACCGUAUAAUAUCUUCGGAUCAAAGAAUUUCGCCUAAAGAUUAGCCCGCGUCUGAUUAGCUAGUUGGUGGGGUAAAGGCCUACCAAGGCGACGAUCAGUAGCUGGUCUGAGAGGAUGAUCAGCCACACUGGAACUGAGACACGGUCCAGACUCCUACGGGAGGCAGCAGUAAGGAAUAUUGGACAAUGGGGGCAACCCUGAUCCAGCCAUGCCGCGUGAGUGACGAAGGCCUUAGGGUUGUAAAGCUCUUUUGGUGGGGAAGAUAAUGACUGUACCCACAGAAUAAGCCCCGGCUAAAUUCGUGCCAGCCGCCGCCGUAAGAC
rnacentral:rRNA from 1 species